AGAUUUCACAGGCUCAAGGAAAUGUGAAAUAUUUGACAUUUUCACCUUAGUGUUUUCACACAUUGAAGAGACACCUUUCAAGAAAGAAGAUCAUAGCUGGGUGCUGGCAACAUGAAGAUCUUUGAGGACGUGACAAGAGCAGCCUCCGCAGUGUGAUAGGAAAUGAAACCUGAGCGCAGCGAGGGGGGCAGAGAUGUUGAAAUGAGAAAGUCAUGACAACCUCCACAGAUACCUCUUUCCAGAGGCUUUGCUGUGAAGACUGAAACAACUGGGAACUUAUGUGGGAUGAAGAGCUGCCUCCAGUGGUCUCGGCAGUGUCUCAAGUCUCCUGUCGGGUAGAUUCUUGCAGAAUGAGGCUGGAAGUGCCACUCAGAGGAUCUGAUUCUAACCUCUGCAUAAGCAAAAACCCAGGCCUUGUGUUCCUCAAUUGGAGCCUGGGCUCUCAUAUGCCACUUAUUUUUUCUUAAGUGGAGCAAAGAUUGUGUCAAUAAAAGCAAAGAACACUUGUUUCAUAUAUAUUUAAAGCUGACGAGUACUUUGUAUAUCACAUUAAGUAGGAAAUUGCUCCAG
rnacentral:lncRNA from 1 species